CGGCAUACUCGUUGUAGAACAUGGAAUCAGAAGUCAGAGCCUAAUUUUCUUUUCCCCUUCGUUCUACCAACGAAAACCAACCCCUACUCCCCCAUUUUAGAUCUGCGAAUUCGAUCAGUCCCAAACUUUGCAAUCCUUUGUUCUCAAUCAAAACCCCUAACUUAUUUUCCAUAAUCAUCCUCAAUAUCACCAAUUUCUGCUGCUCGCCGAAAUUGAAUGAAAACCCCUAAUUUUCGAAAAUUUCAAUGGUUGAGUUUCAAUAACGUAAAUUUCGACAUUAAAAUCUGUAUGAUCCAUGGAGGUUUUGUACGGAGAGUCCAGUCGCUGAGCUCAAAUAACAUAUCUAACAUACAAAGGAUGAAUCGCAAGCUCAAAGUUAAGUUGAAGAAAAUUUUCGAUUAUUUUUCAUCUGGGUGAAUUAGGGUUUUUAAUUCGAUUCAAUACAUCUAGGAUGGUAUCUGAAAUUGCUUGAAUUUAUUCUUGUUUCCAUUGAUAGAAAUGUUGAGUUUACCUCUAGAUCUGAGAGGAAGGAGGCGGCCCUUGCUACUUUUUAGAAAAACGAGUCGUAUUGCUUAUAAGGUUUGGCGGUAGUUGAUGCAUCAAAUUGUGAAAACUGAUUCUGCAAAAUUCGUGGGAGAUACUGAUCAAAAUAAAUUGAGCUGAAAAUUUCAAUGGUUGAGUUUCAAUAACGUAAAUUUCGACAUUAAAAUCUGUAUGAUCCAUGGAGGUUUUGUACGGAGAGUCCAGUCGCUGAGCUCAAAUAACAUAUCUAACAUACAAAGGAUGAAUCGCAAGCUCAAAGUUAAGUUGAAGAAAAUUUUCGAUUAUUUUUCAUCUGGGUGAAUUAGGGUUUUUAAUUCGAUUCAAUACAUCUAGGAUGGUAUCUGAAAUUGCUUGAAUUUAUUCUUGUUUCCAUUGAUAGAAAUGUUGAGUUUACCUCUAGAUCUGAGAGGAAGGAGGCGGCCCUUGCUACUCUUUAGAAAAACGAGUCGUAUUGCUUAUAAGGUUUGGCGACUGGAGGUAGUCAAGCUAGUUUGUCUUUGAGAGGGCGCGACACUUUUGGUCGUCAAGGUAGAGGAAAAGCUAGUCGGUCAUUGAAUUUCGGGAUGAUGAUCGAUCUUUCAGUUCUACCAAGGCACACAAAAGUGAUUGCAAGGUGUUGCUAAGAAGGCUGCUAAUUAAAUACGUUAGUCUAUGCAGGAGUGUGGAUGAUUGCUGCUUCGGGCUAGUGUGUAAUUCCCCAUCCGUAAAGAUUGACGGUUAACAUUGUCCAUUUGUAAAAUUUACGGUUACUUCAUAAUAUACGGAGUCACUUUUUAAUGUUUCUAUAUAGGUUGAAACGAGAUUUUAUUCUUGUACUUGCACAAUUUUGUACUUUUAGACGUAAAAUUUUGAUCAUGAAUGAAUAAUUUGUAAUUAUUUGUACAAAAUAUUUUGGAGGUAAUAUUUGUUUAUUUUCCGA